GGGGGUACGCUAAUGACGCGGUAGCUUUGUCGUCGUUGUCCGGGUCCUAAACCACAAGCUCCUCUGGUUCUCUCGAUCAGCGAGAGAUUGCUUAUGAAGAUAUCAAAUUCAACGUGGAUAACUCUCUUGUGUGGACCGAUAUAACUCCACCUCCAACAGUAAAAGGCUAUGACCACUAGUGCAAAACCGCUGUUUAACAUCACCCAUAAGACGUCGGUUAAAGGGU
rnacentral:lncRNA from 1 species